rnacentral:lncRNA from 1 species
GACUCAAUGAGAAGCACUUUUACGAAAACAUUUCAUGACCUAUUUAUUUUUGUUCCUGAGUUUCCAGAUUUUAUAUUUGAACCAUGGAGUCCAAAAUCGAAGAGGGAACGAAGUGAUUCAUGCAAAAAUAAAGACGAUGGAGCAAAACAUGAGUCGGAUUCUAAGGGAUCCGCAAAUAAAUAAGAACACUUUGUGUGCC